rnacentral:lncRNA from 1 species
CUAUCCCGUCAUUCUCCAAUUUGGUUCUUUCUUUUUUUUGGGAGCUGGGGACCAAACCCAGGGCCUUGCACUUGCUAGGCAAGCGCUCUACCACUGAGCUAAAUCCCCAACCCCUGGUUCUUUCUUUUUAUAAAGUGUAUGAUCAUGUGUGUGUUUUCUUUUCUUUUUUAAAAUUUAUUUUAUGUAUAUGAAUACACUGUCACUGUCUUCAGACACACCACUUCAGACACACCAGAAGAGGGCAUCAGAUCCCAUUAUAGGUGGUUGUGAGCCACCAUGUGGUUGCUGGGAAUUGAACUCAGGACCUCUGGAAGAGCAGUCGGUGCUCUUAACUGCUGAGCCAUCUCUCCAGCCCUCCAAUUUGAUUCUUAAAACAAACAAAACAAACAAAAACAAGAAAAUAGGAAAACAAUCCAAAGUGUUUCUUUGUGGGAGUUGGGGAGGGAAACUCAAUAUGAAAAGUCCAUACACUUACCCCUAAUCAUAAAAAUGCUUUCUGGAGGAAACAGAAUGUUGCAUAAGAUACGUUUUUUUUUUUUUUUUUUUUUGGUCAUGUGCAUUUGCGGCUGCGUGUCUGCAUGGGUGUGUGCAGGUGUGUAUGCAUAGGUGUGUAUACAUGUGUGCAGAGGCCAGAGGUUGAUAUCAGAUGUCUUUCUUAACUGCUUUUCACAUUAUGUAU